UACGUAGGGGGCAAGCGUUGUCCGGAAUCAUUGGGCGUAAAGAGCGUGUAGGCGGCCAGAAAAGUCCGCUGUGAAAACUCGAGGCUCAACUUCGAGCUGUCGGUGGAAACUUUCUGGCUAGAGUCCGGAAGAGGAGAAUGGAAUUCCUGGUGUAGCGGUGAAAUGCGCAGAUAUCAGGAAGAACACCCGUGGCGAAGGCGGUUCUCUGGGCAUUACCUGACGCCGAGGAGCGAAAGCUAGGGGAGCAAACAGG
rnacentral:rRNA from 1 species